rnacentral:rRNA from 1 species
CCUACGGGAGGCAGCAGUGGGGAAUAUUGGACAAUGGGCGAAAGCCUGAUCCAGCCAUGCCGCGUGUGUGAAGAAGGCCUUCGGGUUGUAAAGCACUUUCAGUGGGGAAGAAAGCCUUGGGGCUAAUACCCUCGAGGAAGGACAUCACCCACAGAAGAAGCACCGGCUAACUCCGUGCCAGCAGCCGCGGUAAUACGGAGGGUGCGAGCGUUAAUCGGAAUUACUGGGCGUAAAGCGCGCGUAGGCGGUCUGAUAAGCCGGUUGUGAAAGCCCCGGGCUCAACCUGGGAACGGCAUCCGGAACUGUCAGGCUAGAGUGCAGGAGAGGAAGGUAGAAUUCCCGGUGUAGCGGUGAAAUGCGUAGAGAUCGGGAGGAAUACCAGUGGCGAAGGCGGCCUUCUGGACUGACACUGACGCUGAGGUGCGAAAGCGUGGGUAGCAAACAGGAUUAGAUACCCGUGUGC